GACGAACGCUGGCGGCGUGCUUAACACAUGCAAGUCGAGCGGUAAGGCCCUUUCGGGGUACACGAGCGGCGAACGGGUGAGUAACACGUGGGUGACCUGCCCUCAGCUCUGGGAUAAAGCCUGGGAAACCGGGUCUAAUACUGGAUAUGACUCCAUGACGCAUGUUGUGGGGUGGAAAGCCUUGUGCGGCUGAGGAUGGGCCCGCGGCCUAUCAGCUUGUUGGUGGGGUGAGGCCUACCAAGGCGACGACGGGUAGCCGGCCUGAGAGGGCGACCGGCCACACUGGGACUGAGACACGGCCCAGA
rnacentral:rRNA from 1 species